GUAAUACAUCUGUUAUUCUAACAAUAUAAGAGUUAUCUACAUCAUACUGGUUCCCUGCAUACUAAUGCAUGGCAUUUUUUUUAAUCUUGUUAUUGUGUUUUAUAACCCCAUGCAUGCACUUAAAAAUAUACAUUUUAAUUAUUUCAUAUGUAUAAUAACAGUCAGUGUAAAAAAAGGCCAUAGUAACACUUGCUCUCGCUCCUGAGAUGGUUGACCAAUCAGUGAUGAGAGUCAUCGCUUUGAUCUCCUGCCAAUCACUCGCGCUCAGACAGAAGAAAGGCACAGACUGCAGCAGCUGCAAAAAGGACCUUUCUUUAUCUUUUCUUUCCCAUUUUCAGACUUGUUGAAGUGAUGUGUGUAACGUGAGAACAACCACUUCAAAGUGAAAAGCAUCGCCCAAGUCACCACCUUCCUCCAAGGGCUCACCGAAUUUGAGUGGAAGACAUCAAACUAGUACGGACCACCCCACCAGAGCAUAAAUACUCUUGUCUGGAUUGGAGACCCCCAAGCAGAUGUGGAU